rnacentral:rRNA from 1 species
CCCUUAGACGUUCUGGGCCGCGCGCGCGCUACACUGAUGCAUUCAACAAGCCUAGCCUUGACCGAGAGGUCCGGGUAAUCUUUGAAACUGCAUCGUGAUGGGGCUAGAUUAUUGCAAUUAUUAAUCUUCAACGAGGAAUGCCUAGUAAGCGUGAUUCAUCAAAUCGCGUUGAUUACGUCCCUGCCCUUUGUACACACCGCCCGUCGCUCCUACCGAUUGAAUGAUCCGAUGAAUACCAUGGAUUGAGAGUACGAAUAGGUUCGCUUAUUUCUGCUUCUCGAGAAGUGGAGUAAAUCUUAUCAUUUAGAGGAAGGAGAAGUCGUAACA